rnacentral:lncRNA from 1 species
CCCAUAGCUAAGCACUGAAUCAUACUCCUGGAAUCCAGUUGUGGAGAGGGAGGAGGGAUGAGCAAAGGAGCCAAUACGGUGCUGGAGAGACCCGCAGAAACAGUUGACCUGACCUAGUGAGAGCAUGGAGACCCUAGUCGUAAAGCUGGGGAAACAGCAUUGGACCGAACCAAGCCCUCUGAAUGUGGACCUCAGGUCCCUGGCUUCUGACUUGUCUCUGCCUUUUGAACCUGUUAACUCCCAAUUCCUCGGGAGCAUUCAGGCUGCUUGGGCAUUUCCCUUCGUUAUCGGUUGGUGGAGCUGCACUGUUUUGUUUGGGUCGGAUCACUUGGGGCUUGGAGAGGAGCUGGUAGUGCUGAGUUCUGAGAAAAAUGAUGUCCUGAGUUCAAUUCCCAGUGACCACAUGGUGACUCACAACCAUCUGUAAUGAGAUCUGGUGCCCUCUUCUGCUCUGCAGUCUUGAAAAACAAAACAACUACAUAAAGCUGUAAAAAUGCAUGUCUCAAAAGGAAGACCUUUGGAGGUAGAGAAAGAGAAAAUUAUGGGGACAUCAGAUGAAUCCUUCCCACCUGUAAACCUGCAAUUUUCUAGGGAAUUUCAUCAGCAAUCUCCUUUACAGGGAAGAAUGUAUACCAAAUGCUAGUGGCUUUGGUCUUUUACAGGAAAUUGCUAUGCAGACCAGACAUGGAAUUCAGAGAAUCAACCUGCCUCUGCCUCCCAAAGCCUGGGAUUAAAGGUUUCUGCUUCUGACAGACAUCUGAGUACCAGUUGCUGACUUCAGACUGUUCUAAGUAGACUGCGAACCCUAGACUUGCUAUGGAUGUGAACCAGUCUGCUGAUAUGGACACCCCCUAUCUCUGCAACAGUGUCUGCUAACCAGAAGCCCCUGAUGGAUUCCCCAUUGCCUAAAUUCCUUUUUGUUUUUGACUAGCAUUUCAAC